GGAGGCAUUCCAAAACCCCCUGGCCUCCUUUUCUGUCCGGCUACCUCUGGACUUCAUUUUCCUCUGCCUGAGAUGUCCUUUCCCACCUCCUCAACUUUACUCCUUUCCAAACAGCCGAGACGCCUCUAGGAAGCUUUCCCUGGACCGGUGUUUCCACAACGCUCUGCCCCAACUGCAGUUCUUACGUUAUUACGAAAGUGGCUGUCAUGUGUCUGCUUUCCCACAAAACCACACCUUUGAGGGCAGGGAAGCAGGCCCAGCCCAGGUAAGAUAUGGUUGGGACCAAUCAGCAGAAAUAGCUGGUGAUGCUACUACCUGUGUCCUCUGCCCUACUGCUUGGAGCAUCAGGUCCAGGACCCUUAGCUGCAUUAAGGGAAUGUGGCGGAGUAGAAAAAGGAGUUCUGAAAGCAGACAGGCCUGGAUUCGAAUGUUUGUUCCAUCAGUGAUUAGCUGAGUGAUCUUAUGUGAGUUUCUUAACCUGUCUGGGCCACUGUCUUAUCUGUACAUUAGGACUAUUAAUUACUGUUUAAGAUUGCUGUAAAGUUUGAGUGAAAUAAUAUAUACAAAGCCCCUGACAUGUAAUAGGUGCUAAAUAAAUGUCUUUAUCUGUUACUGCUAUUCCUCUCUCCCUCCUGCUCCAUCCUGACACCGGCCUCACGGAAGUUUCCUUGCUCUUGCCCCUUGGCCUUCCUGCCUUGGCUCACACUCCCUCCACCAGCCUCCACUCGCUCAGAUCUUCCAGUUGGAAAGAACCCCUUCCCUGGGCUCCUGUUCCCCCGCAGCGUGUGGGAGUCCUCACGACUCAGUCAGCUGGACUCGUAGAUGGUUCCUGGGUUGGAAGCUCCUGGAAAUGAUCUACAGGAAAGCCCCACCACCCUGUAAGUACGGGCGGGAAGGACUCCCAGAGCCUCCGCUGCGUGCACAGAGCUGCUCCCUGGCCCUGGAAUCAGAAAUCUCAUCCCUUCCUCCCAGAGCCACACCUCACAGCUGGACCACCGGGCCCCCUGGCGUCCCUGUGAGGGGCCUCCCCAGCCAGUCUUCCCAAAGCUCCCCCUGCCUCCCAGCUCUCUCCUGCCCCAGAGCGUCCACGGUCCCGCCGCUCCGAGGUCAAAUCCAAAUCCACAGCGAGACCCUCAAGUGAGGCUGGACCACCUGUCCACCCUUCCCUUCUGCUGUGCCCUGCUGAGCUCCUGCCACACCUGGCUUCUGCCCAUGAAGAUGGACACAAAAGUCUGUCCCAUGCUGACCUCUCCUGCCACUAAAACUGCCUCUAACAGGAAGCCUGCCCCUCCCCAUUAGCUACAGUUGCCUCCCUCCUAUAGCUCUGCAUUUUUGCAUAUUAUCAAAACUGAUUUGGGUAGAAUUCUGCACUCAAGUGAAUGUUCUGAAAGGGCAAGCAUAUAUUUGUGAUCAUUCACUUACUCAGUCAACAAACAUGUCCAGUCCAGUGCACAAGCACUGUGCGGGGUGCUGGGUACUGGGGUGCAUCAGUAACUAAAAUGGGUUCCAACCACUUCAGAACCUUCCAGCCAGUUGGAAAUAAAGCAGCAGAUGAGGGGAGAAAAUCACCCAGAACCCCACCAAUGUAUUGGAGCAUUUCUUUCCAGUUUUAAAAACAUAUAAUAACCUACCUAAACUACCUGGAUGGGUACAUAUUACUCUACAGCCUUAAGGUGAGGAAACUGAGACACAGAGAGCUUAAGUCCAAGGUCAAAGGAAUGGCAGGUCUGGAUUUUAACUCAGGCAGCCCAGCUCUGAGCCCGCUACCCUAACCCACCCACUACCUUUUAAAAAAUAUGAGUCAAGCUGCGUGUCCUUUGGAAACCCCAAGUUUUCACUUCUGCCUGACCUGUGUGGCCCCGUGGUUGAGUGUUGACCCAUGAGCCAAGAGGUCCCUGCUUUGAUUGGUUUGAUUUCCUGUCAGGCAUAUGCUCAGG